AUGCCAGGCACCCUCAAGGCACAGAGGCUGGGGCUCAUGUUGGGGGCACUUGGCCUCUCCAGGCCUCGAAGGCUUCUCCUGGGCUGACGCGAGCUGGGGAACGGGAGGGACGGACGUGGGAGCGAGAACGUCACACUGGAGGCAGCUGGUGGCACGAUGGGGGACAGAGUGAAAGGUAGCAAGUCAAGAGCCUUCGUGUCACCAUGGCCACACACCCCGAUGGCUUCCGGCUUGAGGGACCCCUGGCUGCAGCCCACAGCCCUGGGCCUUGCACUGUGCUCUACGAAGGCCCUGUCCGUGGGCUCUGCCCCUUUGCCCCGCGAAAUUCCAACACCAUGGCGGCGGCUGCCCUGGCUGCCCCCAGCCUGGGCUUCGAUGGGGUGAUUGGGGUGCUCGUGGCUGAUACCAGCCUCACGGACAUGCACGUGGUGGAUGUAGAGCUGAGCGGACCCCGGGGCCCCACGGGCCGAAGCUUUGCUGUGCACACCCGCAGAGAGAACCCUGCCGAGCCAGGCGCGGUCACCGGCUCCGCCACCGUC
rnacentral:lncRNA from 1 species